rnacentral:tRNA from 1 species
AGAAUUAUAGUCAAUUAUGAUUUAUGAUUUGCACUCAUAAGGUGUCCAAGACUAAUUUUA